rnacentral:rRNA from 1 species
AUUGAACGCUGGCGGCAGGCUUAACACAUGCAAGUCGAGCGGGGGAAGGUAGCUUGCUACCGGACCUAGCGGCGGACGGGUGAGUAAUGCUUAGGAAUCUGCCUAUUAGUGGGGGACAACAUCUCGAAAGGGAUGCUAAUACCGCAUACGUCCUACGGGAGAAAGCAGGGGAUCUUCGGACCUUGCGCUAAGAGAUGAGCCUCAGUCGGAUUGGCUAGUCGGUGGGGUAAAGGCCUACCAAGGCGACGAUCUGUAGCGGCUCUGAGAGGAGGAACCGCCACACUGGGACUGAGACACGGCCCAGACUCCUACGGGAGGCAGCAGUGGGGAAUAUUGGACAAUGGGGGGAACCCUGAUCCAGCCAUGCCGCGUGUGUGAAGAAGGCCUUAUGGUUGUAAAGCACUUUAAGCGAGGAGGAGGCUACUUUAGUUAAUACCUAGAGAUAGUGGGCGUUACUCGCAGAAUAAGCACCGGCUAACUCUGUGCCAGCCGCCGCAGUAA